GAGAAACUUAAUUACCAUUUAAAGUUGUUCCGAAGGGAGCUCUGCCUGUGGUUUAGCUCUGCCUCUGAGCCUUACAUGUCACAGUCUAUCGUGGAGGGAAGUCAGACUUGGACUUCAGACAGAAGCCUGAGGCAGGAACUGAAGCUGAAACGGUGGGAAAAUGCUGCUUGCUGGCUUGCCAGAGGAGCAAAGGUUCCUGAAAGCUGUGUAAGCCAUGCAAACAGCAGCAGGACUUAAAGGCUCAAGGAAGCU